CCAUUCUGUUCCGGGUGCGUGAGGUCUGCAGCCUCUGUGUUAAAAGGACACACAUGUCAAGUACAGAACUAAGACAACCUCGGCGUGAGCUUUGGUUGCGAAUGGUAUGAACCUUGAACUCUUAUUCACUACAGAAGUGAUACUUCCUAGCCAUUGAGUUAGCAGCGGCCGCUGUAAACGUGGGCUAGGAAAGGAUGGACGACGUAUCCAGUCUAACACACAACGAAGAUACUCCAACGUAUCCAUUUUACCACCAGUGACAUUCUUCCGAGGACAGGAAGAUCUCUGUUGGCCAACACGGCCAGCAUCUACGACCAACCUACCGAAGCGCAGCUCCGAGUAAAUAUUUAUUGCAUUUUCCUUUACCAAAUGGGCGGUAAUAUAGAAUGCAUAAGAUUCUGUAUUUACGAUAGCAGAGCUGUUUCUUUUGUUCCUCAGUCUUCCCGCUCUUUCAUUCAAGCCCAACCCCCUUUCUUUGUGUAACAAGCCGCCAUGCAUUUCUGUGAAUUAUUUUGUUUAGUAAAUAAAUGAUUUUAAGACAAUUGAUGUAUGGAUGACUCAUAGUGAAGACUGGGUUCAUGCAGAUAACCAACAAUUCACGACGUUUGGAAUGAGACUGGCGUGAGGUAAACUAACACAUCAUUAAUCAGAGGACUCAGAGAUCAGAUAUUAUAAUAUCUGAAAGUUAUAUUAGGAAAAUUAUAACUUUGUAAUCUGAAUAUUUUCCUUGGUGCCCCGACCUUCUAGUUAAUUACAGUUACACGAUUAAUCAGUUUAAUCGCGUAAUAAUAAUUACAGAGAGUUAUUUGAUAAACAUGUCUUCCGUUUUAAUGAUGCCAAAGACAUGACAAUAUGUAUAUUUUAGUUCACCUUUAUUUAACCAGGUAGGUUAGUUGAGAACAAGUUCUCAUUUACAAUUGCGACCUGGCCAAGAUAAAGCAAAGCAGUGCAACACAAACAACAACACAGAGUUACACAUGGAAUAAACAAACAUACAGUCAAUAAUACAAUAGAGAAAGUCUAUAUACAGUGUGUGCAAAUGAGGUAGGAUAAGGGUGGUGAGGCAAUAAAUAGGCCAUAGGCCAUAUAGGCCAUAAUUAUUACAGUAUGGAAAGUUAAACACUGGGGUGAUAGAUGUGCAGAAGAUGAGUGUGCAAGUAGCGGUACUGGGGUGUAAAGGAGCAAAAUAAAUAAAAUAAAUAAUAAUAUGGUGAUGAGGUAGUUGGAUGGGCUAUUUACAGAUUGGCUAUGUACAGGUGCAGUGAUCUGUGAGCUGCUCUGACAGCUGGUACUUAAAGCUGGUGAGGGAGAUAUGAGUCUCCAGCUUCAGAGAUUUUUGCAGUUCGUUCCAGUCAUUGGCAGCAGAGAACUGGAAGGCAAGGCGACCGAAGGAGGAAUUAGCUUUGGGGGUGACCAGUGAGAUAUACCUGCUGGAGCACGUGCUACGAGUGGGUGCUGCUAUGGUGACCAGUGAGCUGAGAUAAGGCGGGGCUUUACCUAGCAAAGACUUAUAGAUGACCUGGAGCCAGUGGGUUUGGCAACGGAUAUGAAGCGAGGGCCAGCCAACGAGAGCAUAAUGACAUUUGAAAUGUCUUUAUUCUUUUGGAACUUCUAGUCUCCCGUGGAGAACCCUCGACUAGCUCUACCCAGACCAGUUAAUGAUCACAAUCUGCACAGGAAAUGAAGAUACAUGAGAGGGGAUGUGAUUGCUGCUGCCACCACCACUGCCUCCAAGGUGCAAAAGCGAGGAAGAGAAUAAGCAAGUGUUUAAACCCCCUGGGCAGUGCCCUCAUCUUUCCCUUCUAAAAAGUUGAUAAACUGCUCUUACAUAUGCC
rnacentral:lncRNA from 1 species